AUACGUAGGGGGCGAGCGUUGUCCGGAAUGAUUGGGCGUAAAGGGCGCGUAGGCGGCCCGGUAAGUCUGGAGUGAAAGUCCUGUUUUUAAGAUGGGAAUUGCUUUGGAUACUGUCGGGCUUGAGUGCAGGAGAGGUAAGUGGAAUUACCAGUGUAGCGGUGAAAUGCGUAGAGAUUGGGAGGAACACCAGUGGCGAAGGCGACUUACUGGACUGUAACUGACGCUGAGGCGCGAAAGUGUGGGGAGCAAACAGGAUUAGAUACCCUGGUAGUCCACACUGUAAACGAUGAAUGCUAGGUGUAGGGGGUAUCGACCCCUUCUGUGCCGCAGUCAACACAAUAAGCAUUCCGCCUGGGGAGUACGGCCGCAAGGUUGAAACUCAAAGGAAUUGACGGGG
rnacentral:rRNA from 1 species